UUUUAGUGGCAGAUAAAUGCAUGGAUCUUAAGCGUCCAAAACGAGGUUUUCUCCUAUUUC
rnacentral:tRNA from 1 species